UGUUGUCCUGGGGUAAGCAUGUAGGGCGGAACGUAGGUAAAUCCGCGUUCUAUUCAGCCUGAGAUGUGAUGCCGAGCCGAUUGUGGUGAAGUGGAUGAUCCUAUGCUGCCGAGAAAAGCCUCUAGUGAGUGUUGUGGCGGCCCGUACCCUAAACCGACUCAGGUGGUCAGGUAGAGAAUACCAAGGCGAUCGGGUGAACUGUGGUUAAGGAACUCGGCAAAUUGCCCCCGUAACUUCGGGAGAAGGGGGACCUCUGCUGGUGAUGGGCUUUACGUUCUGAGCUGGUGGGGGUCGCAGUGGCCAGGGGGAAGCGACUGUUUACUAAAAACACAGGUCCGUGCGAAGUCGUAAGACGAUGUAUACGGACUGACGCCUGCCCGGUGCCGGAACGUUAAGGGGACCGCUUAGCCAACGCGAGUUGGCGAAGGUGAGAACUUAAGCGCCGGUAAACGGCGGUGGUAACUAUAACCAUCCUAAGGUAGCGAAAUUCCUUGUCGGGUAAGUUCCGACCUGCACGAAUGGCGUAACGACUUCCCCGCUGUCUCAACCACAGACCCGGCGAAAUUGCACUACGAGUAAAGAUGCUCGUUUCGCGCAGCAGGACGGAAAGACCCCGGGACCUUCACUACAGCUUGACAUUGGCGUUUGGAACGUCUUGUGUAGGAUAGGUGGGAGACUGGGAAGCUGUCACGCUAGUGAUGGUGGAGUCAUUGGUGAAAUACCACUCUGGUCGUUUUGAACGUCUAACUCUGGUCCGUGAUCCGGAUCGGGGACAGUGUCUGGUGGGUAGUUUAACUGGGGCGGUUGCCUCCUAAAGAGUAACGGAGGCGCCCAAAGGUUCCCUCAGCCUGGUUGGCAAUCAGGUGUUGAGUGUAAGUGCACAAGGGAGCUUGACUGUGAGACUGACAGGUCGAGCAGGAGCGAAAGCUGGGACUAGUGAUCCGGCAUCGGCGUGUGGAAGCGGUGUCGCUCAACGGCUAAAAGGUACCCCGGGGAUAACAGGCUGAUCUUCCCCAAGAGUCCAUAUCGACGGGAUGGUUUGGCACCUCGAUGUCGGCUCGUCGCAUCCUGGGGCUGGAGUAGGUCCCAAGGGUUGGGCUGUUCGCCCAUUAAAGCGGUACGCGAGCUGGGUUUAGAACGUCGCGAGACAGUUCGGUCCCUAUCCGCUGCGCGCGCAGGAGACUUGAAGGGGGCUGUCCCUAGUACGAGAGGACCGGGACGGACGAACCUCUGGUGUGCCAGUUGUACCGCCAGGUGCACGGCUGGUUGGCUACGUUCGGAAGGGAUAACCGCUGAAAGCAUCUAAGCGGGAAGCUCGCCUUGAGAUGAGGUCUCCCACCCCGUGAGGGGGUAAGGCUCCCGGUAGAUCACCGGGUUGAUAGGCCGGAGGUGGAAGCACGGUAACGUGUGGAGCUGACCGGUACUAAUAGGCCGAGGACUUGACCAC
rnacentral:rRNA from 1 species